rnacentral:lncRNA from 1 species
CAAGGGAAAGACUUGAGUUACUUCCAAUAGGGGUCUAUUCGUCUGUCAAAACGUUAAUCUUGAAGGAGCAAAGGUUGUUCAUGAGUUGUCAUGCUCGCUAGGCGAAGCCCACGUGUUUUGAAAAAAAAACGAAAAAAAAAACGAAAAAAAACGAAAAAAAAAUGAAUAAAUAAAUAAAUAAAAGAAAAUUUUUUGGACUUGG